GGCUGGCUCUUUCCUUUGCAUGCUGCUUUUUUCCUCAGGCCUGAGAGACUGGGGACAAUGCUUUUCCUGAGAACAAGUUUGAUAUCAGGGAGCAGUAAGAGAACACAGGGCAUUGGGCAAUGCAGAGUGAAGAAAAGGUUCCAGAAGCCUCUGAAGGAAUGACAAGAAAUCCAGAGUCACUGGAUCAUAGAGUACAUGGAGGAGAGUAAGGAAUAAGAAGACUGAAAGGCAGAGGCAGGUUAUGAAGGUUUUGUGUUGAAACACAAAGGAUUUUAUAUUUGAUCCUAGAGCCAUGGUGUCUUGCAGUAGAGCUACUUUCCCAUCAGGAAACCCUGUGCCAUCAGAGAGCAUGCCCAGAAAUCCCAGUGGAGCGACAUACCCAGCAGGCAUAUUGUGCCUAAGAAGGACAGCAUAAUCAAAGAAGAUGAAGACCUUGUGGCAUCAACUGUGUGUCACAUUGGCACAUUGGACAUAUGCGUUCUCUAAGUGUAUGCCUCUGUACAAUUAUACUCCAUGUGUUCCCACAGUAUGACUCUGUGUGCAUUUGUGGGAAGGUAUACCCUAGGUAGGUCCACGGUGUGGAAAACAGGAAUGUUUUGUAGCUACUGGUUUUUUUCCUAUGCCACCUCAGAAAACACCUAUACUUUGAGUUAAUUUGUGUCCUCUGGCUGAUUAUUAAAGGCAAAUGCACAGUUGGGGCCCCAUGAGCUAUGGUUUUAGGAAUGUGGACCCACUGACUAUCCCCUGGAACCUAUUGUCAUUAUACCUGAGAUGUGCCAGUUAGAAAGGUAGCCUGGAGGGGGUCCUGUAUAUAUUAUGGGCCAUAUAUUAACUUCUGGGUAGAGGCUUUGUCUCAUACUUCUUUUUGUGAUACGAUAGCACUCAGUACAAUGAUAGACA